GGAUAUGAAGGUCAUGUGUCAAAGGCAUCUCUCACGCCAUUGAUAGCCAGGGUUGGUUGGGGCUGCUCUGGCUGGCCAGGCGGGUGUGCCCUUCCUCCUCACAGCUCCAUGUGCGUCCCUCCAGAAGCUGCGCGCUGCGUGAAAGACGAGGACCGUUCCAGAUACCGGAGGACCGCUUUCUCUGUCAAGGGUGUAGAGUAACUGCAUACCUCUGCUAGAAUCUCCAAAUAAGCUCUCAAGGUCUUAAACUCCCUAGAGAUGAUUAUAUCUAGUAAUGCAUUUCAAUGUGGCUAGAAGAAGAGCUUCUAAAUGGUCUUAU
ensembl:misc_RNA 7SK 7SK RNA